rnacentral:lncRNA from 1 species
UGGCUUCUUUACUUCAUCCUGGGACCAGGAAAAAUGGGAACUUCUCUUUUGCUCCCCACAAAACAACCAGAGCGUGGAACAUAUGAAGUAAAGAAUAAUAUUUAUUGAAUGAAGACAUGAAUUUAACCCUGCAGGCCUAGGUGGGAGCUUCCAGUGCCUCUUGUCAUCAUUCUGGUAUGUCCAGGAAGUGGGAGGUGGCACCAAUGUGUAGCCACCCUGCCUGAGCCCACCAGCCUUGGAGUCAGAACACCCUGGGGUAAAUCCUGGCUCAGCUCUUCUCAGCUAUGUGAUCUCGGCCACCACCACUGAGCCAUGUGGUUAUCCCAUCCAGCCUGCCACCACUGGACUGUAUGUACCGCAGUUCUCCUAUCCAGCCCACCACCACUGGACUCUCUCUCCUGUAUGUAAGCCCCA